CCUCCCUGGGGUACCAAGCUUGCGGCCUGGCUCCCCCAGGCUCUAAGUUGACUGAGAAGGCCUGGAUUUUAGCUGGUUCUGGUCGUGAAUCGCCCCCUCCCACCCGUAGAGAAAGAGGGGGGCGAUCCAAUGCACAGGGCCAAUCCCCUCCAGGAUCGCACCACUACCGGAGGUUGCCCAUCCCCACCUCAACCGCCACUUGUGGAACAUAGGAGGCAGGAAGUUCCAUUCAUCCCUGAGCCCUUUCAGGGGGAGGGGGAGCUGUGGCUGUAGGCACAUCUACACCUGCCUCCCCUGCCCCUGCCUUCCUCAGGCUCUGAGUGGCUCGCUGUUUCCUAAAGUCAGCCCAGGCUUCUUCCUCCCUGUGCUCUUCCUCUGUGGCCAACACCUGAUCCAGCCCACCCUCCCAGCAACAAUGGGAUUUCUGGGGGACAUCAGUAAUAUUUCAUAUAAUAGUUAAUACAAGAAAUUCAGGGUUAUAUAUUAGUCGUGUCUCAGACUGGUUUUUCCACUACAAUACCUGAGAUUGAAGAAUUUAUGAAGAGUAGAAAAUCAUUGGCUCCCAGUUUGGAAGGUUUUCAAUUUUAUAUUAGGAAAUAUGACUGAACUGUGGUGUAAAGCUAAAUACCUACAAUUCAGAGAAUCCACAGACAACGUCUGCCAUCACGGAUAUCAAGAGACGUUGAACAAGGUCAACAUUAACUUUGAAAGGUAUUUGUUGUAUAACAUGGAGGAUUGUAAAGCUCUAAGGUUAGUGAUGCUGAAUUUAACAACGAAUGGAGUUACAUGCUUAUUCUUUUUUCUAGUUCCAAGGGAGUAAUAUCUUCUAAAAUAAAAUGUUAUUUUUUGUAAGAAAAGUUUUGGGAAGAUGUUUUACACAUCUAUUAAGGUAAUAUUGACAUGAUUCUUUCUUCAGAUGAAAAUACAACAGUUCCAGUUUCCUUUUAAAGUACAAAACAAACAUCUCAUUCAACAAAU